UACGAAGGGGGCUAGCGUUGCUCGGAAUCACUGGGCGUAAAGGGUGCGUAGGCGGGUCUUUAAGUCAGGGGUGAAAUCCUGGAGCUCAACUCCAGAACUGCCUUUGAUACUGAAGAUCUUGAGUUCGGGAGAGGUGAGUGGAACUGCGAGUGUAGAGGUGAAAUUCGUAGAUAUUCGGAAGAACACCAGUGGCGAAGGCGGCUACUGGCCCAUUACUGACGCUGAGGCUCGAAAGCGUGGGGAGCAAACAGGG
rnacentral:rRNA from 1 species